GCGGAUGAUUAUAAAUUUUUAACCCCGAGCAUUUACGCCCCCCUCCGGGGCGCUCUGAAGAUUAAAAUAAUGCAACAACAACACUCUAAUUUUUUGCUGACG
rfam:Penicillium nalgiovense strain IBT 13039 PENNAL_contig0026, whole genome shotgun sequence.